GCCUCUUCCACAUGAAUGCAGAACACUCCAACUAUUCAACAACUUUCAGGUCACAGACCAUCAUGUCAGCCAUCUGUGGAGUGAGGGGAUUGUAUUUGUCCUUGAUUAAGCUUCUCAGUAGUACAGGGUUACACUUCUGAGAUCAAUUGUGGUUCCAAGAAACAAUGAGUCGGUGAAUUAUCUCAGGUACCCACUUUUCACAUUUUCAAAUGAGGAUAGAAGACCACUAGAAGAUAAACUAUAAGGCCAGGGGUGGUGACUCACGCCUUUAAUCCCAGCACUUUGGGAGGCCGAGGUGGGCAGAUCACUUGAGGUAGGGAGUUUGAGACCAGUCUGACCAACAUGGAGAAACCUGGUCUGUACUAAAAAUAGAAAAUAAUCCGGGAGUGGUAGCACAUGCCUGUAAUCCCAGCUACUUGGGAGUCUGAGGCAGAAGAAUCACUUGAACCCAGGAGGCAGAGGUUGCAGAGAGCCGAGGUUGCAGUGAGCCGAGAUCGCACCAUUGCACUCCAGCCUGGGCAAUAAGAGCAAAACUCCAUCUCAAAAAAAAAAGAAGAUAAACUAUAAAUAUUAAUACAUCUAGCUGGGCACGGUGGCUCACACCUGUAAUCCCAACACUUUGGGAGGCUGAGGCGGGCAGAUCGCCUGAGGUCAGGAGUUCGAGACCAUCCUGGCCAGCAUGGUGAAACCCCGUCUCUACUAAAAAUACAAAAAUUAGCUGGGCGUGGUGGCAAACGGCUGUAAUCCCAGCUACUUGGGAGGCUGAGGCAGGAGAAUCGCUUCAACCCAGGAGGCGGAGGUUGCAGUGAGCCGAGGUCGCGUGCCAUUGCACUCCAGCCUAGGCAACAGAGUGAAUUCCGUCUCAAAAAAAAAAAAAAAAAAAAUUAAUACAUCCGAUUGUGGAUAGCUGUGGGGGUCAUUCUGUUAUAAUCUUUUUGCCCUGCAGGACUGAAAAGUGCAAGAUUAUAUGGCUCAACAAUAACCGUGACUGCACAGUUUUCAAAAAAUCACUGGUAUAUCUGUCAGGGCAAACUGUUGGUAAUGAAAAAUAAGAAAAAGGGGCCAGGUGCAGUGGCUCGAUGAUGGCUCAUGUAGCCUCAACCUCUU
rnacentral:lncRNA from 1 species